rnacentral:rRNA from 1 species
UGUGUAGGCGGUUUGGUAAGUCUGGUGUGAAAUCUCCCGGCUCAACUGGGAGGGUGCGCCGGAAACUGCCGGACUCGAGUGCGGGAGAGGAGAGUGGAAUUCCUGGUGUAGCGGUGAAAUGCGUAGAUAUCAGGAGGAACACCGGUGGUGUAGACGGCUCUCUGGACCGUAACUGACGCUGAAACACGAAAGCGUGGGUAGCAAACAGGAUUAGAUACCCUGGUAGUCCACGCCCUAAACGAUGCAUAUUUGGUGUGGGUCAUUCAGUUGAUCCGUGCCGGAGCUAACGCGUUAAAUAUGCCGCCUGGGAGUACAGUCGCAAGGCUGAA